AGACAAACGGUGGUGGAGAUGUAGCCAUCCAGGCGGACAGCCCCAACUCCCCUGUUUGGUGAGGGGAGGACGGGAGCUGAGGAUGUGGAGGACAGCCGCGUGACGAUGUGCGCGGAGAGAAACAAGAGAACCCGUUAGAUUAAAAAAAAUGGACGGGGCCGGCGGGACGUCACGAUGCGCCGUCGCCACAAAGCUCAGUACGCCGCUCAUGAACGCGCUCAUUUGGCUCCCAGCAUGCCGCACGUCCGGAGGGACCGCUGGUUACCAGGAGCUCAUCCAAGAACAGUGCAACCCACCCUGCUGCAUCCGAGGAGGAAACAAAACUUAAACACAAAAGCUCAAGAAAUGAUGAAGAAGUCUUCCUCCAACUUCCAGGUGUGUCGGAGGUUGUGUGUGUGUGUUGCUUGCAGAGAGCUGUGUUCGCAGGCCUGAGGGGUUGUCUGUUAUCUUUGGUUAUCUAGCUGUAUGAGUGACGUACAUUCUUCAUAAAGCUAGAUAACCGAAAGUAACAAGAAUCCCAUUACACGCCUGCAUGGAGGAUGAAAACUACAUUUGAAAAAAAAAAAACACAAAAAGAAGUAGGAGUGGGCUCGGACGAUGGACGCUGCCAAGCAAUGACGUGAAGGGUUUCUGAUCAGUCUGGAGUUGGGAAUCAUCGGAUCUUUGCCUCUCUGCUCUUUUGGACUGUGACUUUGAGUCCAGCGAUGUUGGUUUCCCACAGGACUACACAUCAUUAUAUACUGGAGGAAACACACGGAUUCUGUGAAAGCAGCUGUCUCAAUGAACCGGACAGUGGACAGUUGAAACUGUCAUAAAACUGGAUACAAAAGUGUUUUCAGCUGCCACAGCAGAACAUCUUUAACCGAAUGACGACAAAAAACAUAAAAGGAGACAGAAGAUUUUGAAGUGGACAAACAUGACGACAUUUGGUCAUCAUGGGGCUGACACAGAGAGUAAAGGACGGCAAAGAGAUCCGUGUUGUACACUGUGUUCUUGGGAACUGCUCUGCACAGCUGUUCAGGAAACAUCUGCACUACAUUUUCAUGUAGGUCAGAGCUUAGAUCUCUCUCUCUCUCUCAGUCACACACAAACACAAAUUCAGUCAUUUGAGAUUCAAAGCAAUUUUAUAAUUAAAAGGGAAAAAGGUUAGAUGAUGGAGAAAAUAGUUGCUGUAGUGUAUUAUUCAAUACAAUUUAUUCUCCUUUAGACCUUAAGUGCUAGAUUUUACAUUUAUUUUUCUUACUUAUCUUUUGAAUCCUAUUUGUAUUUAAUUAUUUCAGCAAGCAAAUUAAUGUGUGUAUUUGUCUCAUGUAAAACUUUGGAUGUGUCAAUCAAGUUGGUGACAAUCUGUGUGACUGGGGUACUUGAAAUAUUAGUGGAAAAAAUAUGCAGUGUCAGAACUGUUUUGUCUUGUACGACUUGUUUAUCAAUGAUUCAGAUGAUUUGACCAUUUUAAGACACAUGUAAUACUUAUUAUCAUCUCAUAAAUACAUUGAGUGUUUUAUACAUUUUUAUUUAAGAGCUGUGUAACCAUAACAUGGGCUCUAUCCACAGCCACCUACAUUACAUUUUAUUUGAUCUUUUUUUAAUUUUUUUUGUACAAUAUCUUUAUUGAAUUGUAUUUUUACUUUUACUGUACACGUUUAUCACUGCAGGGAGCAUUUUGUGCAAUCAAAACUACAAUAUGUCUAUUUUUUAUCUAUGCAAAAGAAACGAGUAGGUUUUGUUUGAAUAAGUGUUUGCACAUUAAUUGUUAAGUUUGCACAUCAGCAGCUAAAUGUACGGGUAAAGUUUGUGUGUGAGAAAUGUGGGUAAUUGUGAUGUUUUACUAAUAUGCACUAAAUGAGCACCGGUGCAAUGUGUGUGCUGAGCUGGUAAUGAAGGUUUGAUUUGAAACAGUGGAUACAGCCGUUUUAUUGAUUUAAUCAGUGACUGCAGUCGAUCUCAGAGACUAAAAUCUCGAUUUAUUCCACAUUUCAUUUGUCAAAUCAGCUCCUCAGACAAUGUAACAUGAACACUUGAAUGCAUAUGACUUUGCUUUGAUCUAGUGUGGAGAAUUUGUGCAAUAGAUUUAUGUAGUUUGAUACAAUUCAGAGGAUGAACUGAUUAUAUUAAAAUGCACUCAAUGAGUGUUACAAGCAGGAUUUGCACGAGAGCUGCUGUUAAUGUGCUCGAUAUCUGUACUAUGCAACUGUUUAAUUAAAAUCAAUAAAAGUAUUAUGUUUACAAUGAGACAAAAA